rnacentral:rRNA from 1 species
UACGAGUGCCCCAAGCGUUAUCCGGAAUCACUGGGCGUAAAGGGUGCGUAGGCGGGUCUUUUAAGUCAGGGGUGAAAUCCUGGAGCUCAACUCCAGAACUGCCUUUGAUACUGAAGAUCUUGAGUUCGGGAGAGGUGAGUGGAACUGCGAGUGUAGAGGUGAAAUUCGUAGAUAUUCGCAAGAACACCAGUGGCGAAGGCGGCUCACUGGCCCGGAACUGACGCUGAGGCGCGAAAGCGUGGGGAGCAAACAGG